GCCCCAAUAGAGGUCAAGCCCCCAGGUCCCCCAAAUGAUGUCAAAUUCCUAGCUACGCCCCUGUAUCUGUAUCAAUCCAUCCCUGUUGCAUAGAAUAAGGAUUUGGAGUUUGUUGCCUAAAAUAGAUAUGUUACAUUCCUUCAAUAUCUUAGAAUUUAAGAAAAGAAUUAUGGGACCAAUACCACUUCUCAAGCCUUUGAGCUACUACGUCACAAAGGGGAAACAAACUGUGCAAGUUAACAAUUAUAGUCUAACAUUGUUGCUACAGUGUCCACAAGAUCAUCUUUCUUAUAUCCACAUAUUUUUUAACAAUAUUGGCUAUUCUUUUUUUUUU